CAUGUCAGAUGCCUCUUUGCUUUAGGUACCUGCUUCACUGGCUGCUGUCAAAAGACUGUUAAGAACCUGCUCUAUAGUGCUGAGUCCUGCAGGGCUUGGUCCUGGGACCCUGACUGGAGUGGUGGAAGAAAUGAACAGAUGGAAUGAAGAAAGGACAGACACACAGACACAUACAGAAAAGUCUCCACGCUGAGAAGUACUCCAGGGUUCUGAGCACGCGUGUCACAGCUGACUCGGAGUGAAAUGAAGAAAACAACCCUGGUGGAUUAGCACUGAAGACACUCCUAAUUUCCCCAGCAGCAGAAACGGGAUGAGCUAAGUCUAUGUGUAUAAGUCUCCAUGAAAUAAACAGCUUUUCCUCUGUGAUGUGUUCCUGUCAUCAUUAUGGACUGCUGUACCACAGGUCCAAAGCGACAGACACGGCUGCUUACACCUCAAACCCUCCGGAACACAGUGCCCUAGUAAAACCUUCCUCCUUGUGGGGCAUUCAUGUCAGCGGUUUGCCACCACGAGGGAAGGAGGACCAGACUUCUCCAUACAAUGGCCCAUCCGUGACAGCUAAGCAGAAGGCAGAGUCUUAUUUCCUACUGGUCUAUUCUUUGAGAAACAAAUUCCCAGGUCUCCACUUGUGACUGUUAUAGCUCCACGUGUCUCCCUGGUGGUUCCAUUCGUGCUAACACAGUCAAUCUGCUUGCUAGGUUACUGUAGCCUUAAAGAGUCCGUAAAUUUUUUUGUGGGAUAUUUACACUCCACUGAACAGCAUUUGAUGUAAAAGCAUCGAUAGCGAGCAUUUUAGUGGUGUGUUAUCUGUGUCGGGGAGGCCUGCAGUGGGGUCAGGGGCUGGACCCCGGGGAUAUGAAAACGUUUGUUUGAAGGUUACAGAGGACCUGAUCUCAGCUGCCCCUUCGCUUGCCUCUCAUGCAGCCUCUUCAUAUUCCUGAUUGUGUUGGAACAGGAGACUGGAAGGCAGUCAUGCCCUUCUUGUUCUGGUCCACAAGGGAUACUCAGCUCUAAGCACUCAGCCAGGGGUCUCAGGAUUACCCCAGGAGAUUGGCAACAGGCCAGCUGUUUGCCUGAUUUGGCUGCAGCCCCAGCCUGUCUUUGAGGUAUUUAGAAAGUGCAGCAUGAAUGCCUCUGGCCCAGCCCCAGCUGUGGGGAAAUAAAACGGACCACUUCUUACAAACCAAUUCUCAGUGUCAAGUUCAAUGUUACUCAUGUGGCCCUGACCCGAGAGCGUGUCCUCACAUGUAGACCAUCACUGACACAACUGCAGGACAAUUAGAGGUGUGACUUCUUGGAAACUUGAAGGCUCUGGGGCAUCACAGUCCAGAGGACACAGAACAACCAGAGAGAGCAUUCCCACAGUCCUCUGGGAUACUACAGUCCAGAGGACACAGGGCAACCAGAGAAAUCAUUUCCACAAUCCUCUGUGAUACUACAG